CAGUAGCCGCGGUAAUACAGAGGGUGCGAGCGUUAAUCGGAUUUACUGGGCGUAAAGCGUGCGUAGGCGGCUUCUUAAGUCGGAUGUGAAAUCCCUGAGCUUAACUUAGGAAUUGCAUUCGAUACUGGGAAGCUAGAGUAUGGGAGAGGAUGGUAGAAUUCCAGGUGUAGCGGUGAAAUGCGUAGAGAUCUGGAGGAAUACCGAUGGCGAAAGCAGCCAUCUGGCCUAAUACUGACGCUGAGGUACGAAAGCAUGGGGAGCAAACAGGAUUAGAUACCCCUGUAGUCCCUGUCUCUUAUAA
rnacentral:rRNA from 1 species